ACAUCCAUUGUCAAUCCUCUCUCUCACAAUUCCCACAUACCUUUCAUAAUCAAACUCUAAAUUCUACCAGUGUUUUGAGUCCAUUCUCUUCUUUGUGUUCUUUAAUUACAGCUUUUAUCAUCUCUUAAUUUUUUUGUUUGUUUUUACAGUUUCCAUGUCCUUAUCUUUCUGUACUACAUUCUGGUUCGUUUCCUCAUCUCUCUCAUCUAGUCAUUAAAUUUAUCUUGAGUUCUUUUUGAUCUUCUAUUUUAACCUCUUCACAAAAUUCUUUAUUAGAUAUACUUUUAUAGCUAUACUUUCUAGUUGGUUCUUUUUUCAAUCCUCCUGAUAUUU
rnacentral:lncRNA from 10 species